rnacentral:rRNA from 1 species
AUACGGAGGAUCCAAGCGUUAUCCGGAUUUAUUGGGUUUAAAGGGUGCGUAGGCGGCUUAUUAAGUCAGGGGUGAAAGACGGUGGCUCAACCAUCGCAGUGCCCUUGAUACUGAUGAGCUUGAAUACACUAGAGGUAGGCGGAAUGUGACAAGUAGCGGUGAAAUGCAUAGAUAUGUCACAGAACACCGAUUGCGAAGGCAGCUUACUAUGGUGUGAUUGACGCUGAGGCACGAAAGCGUGGGGAUCAAACAGGAUUAGAUACCCUGGUAGUCCACGCCCUAAACGAUGAAUACUCGCUGUUAGCGAUACACAGUUAGCGGCUAAGCGAAAGCGUUAAGUAUUCCACCUGGGGAGUACGCCCGCAAGGGUGAA